UCCCUACACCUGCAUGUCACGGAGUGUGUGAGAGGUGGGUUCUGUAUCAUUCUGUCAUCUCACUCAUUCCUACACCUGCAUGUCACGGAGUGUGUGAGAGGUGGGUUCUGUAUCAUUCUGUCAUCUCACUCUCCCUACACCUGCAUGUCACGUAGAGUGUGAGAGAGGCGGGUUCUGUAUCAUUCUGUCAUCUCACUCGCUACACCUGCAUGUCACGUAGAGUGUGAGAGAGGCG